UGGCAUAUGGAAGUUCCCAGGCUAGGGGUGGAAUCAGAGCUACUGCUCUGGCCUACACCACAGCCACAGCAAUGCCGGAUCCUUAACCCACUGAGUCAAGCCAGGGAUCAAACCUGGGUCCUUAUGGAUUGUAGUUGAAUUUGUUUCUGCUGCGCCAGGACGGGAACUCUCGUCCAGACCCUUCUUGUUGAACAGCUACUCUGUGCCAGCAAGACCCACCCAGUCUCUGUCGUCAUGGAACCCAGAGGGGCAGAAAGACAGCUAGAGCAUCCUGAGAAUUAUUAUAAGCCCUAGGAGAUUGUGGAUAAGGAGUCAGCUUUUCAUGGACACCAAAGCAGGAAGUGCAGUCCGGCUUCACAAAGGAGAACCAGUCACGGGAAAAAAGUCAUCCUCAGUUGUCACAUCGUCUCCCUCCUCCCUGUUGUCACAUCGUCUCCCUCCUCCCUGUCUGGGGCCCCAGGUCUCACCAUCUGGUAACUCUCUCCUCCCCCAUCCCUCAGCCCUGGCUGCUGCUUCCUGCUCCUCUGAGCACAUGGCUCAGUGAUGGUCACCCCAAAAUGACCCGUCUCAGUUCUGCAUCUGUAGGACCUCACGACUCCUCGGCCUAGAUUCCCAGGAGAAAAGCUAAGCGGCCUGGCUGGGGUGGCGACCUUCUGGUCUGAGUAGCUGGUGGGGCCAGGUGGGGUCAGCUGAUGGAGAAAGCUGACCCUUCUCAUCUGUAAUGGGGCCUGUUCCCCAGAAGGGUGUGCAGACAGAGGUCGGGACCACUACCCAAAACCAUUUCACAGUUUAGGGUGGCACUUGCUGACUUUUGAAUGUGUGCCGGUGGGGAGAUUUGUUAAACUGAGACAUCCGCCUAAGAUCCCCAAAUUCUAAUUCACCCUCUGUUACCACCAUCAUAUGAUGGAAAACAAGACAAAAUAGGAAGGCCCCAAUGUGGGAAUUUUCAGCAAGUAAUUAUUUUUCAUUAAUUCGUAUACGCGAGUCAUUAACCAAGGGACCUGCACUGUUCUUGGUUUCUUCAUUUUACCAAAGAGAACUAAGAACUUGGGUCAUAGACCUGAUUUGGUCUGUGGACCCACAUUGGAAACCCAUGGACAUUAAAGAGCCCACGCAGGUCACUUAAUGAUGUCCACAGAACACGGACCUCCCAGCCCUGGGCUCAGAGCCCAAGGUCGUGCACCAUUUAAUGCAGGGCCUCCUCCAGGCAGCGUCACUGCCUCCACCUUGUGAGCUGGAGGCAGUGAAGCUCGGGGCCUUGUCCACAGUGCUCAAGAAGGAGUGGGGUUUGAUUCCAAGUUAUUGGCUCCUUCAGGCGGGUCCUUUGGGGUGAGGGAGAUGGGUGAGGCGCCUCUAAGAGAGGCAAGCCUGUGUCACGGGUGUGCUAGUGGAAUGAACAAGCUGUUCAAAGAGUAACAGGACUCUGGACAGUUCCCCAAAGAGAGGUGUUUCCUUAGUUGGGCCAGGUGAGGUCACCUGAUGGAGACGGAAGUGUUGGCAGAAGGCAGGGGUGGAUGCAGAGCCCAGGCCAGACUUUACAGUCAGGCAGCCAAGCUUGGGCUGCAGGGAAGCGACACCAGCCAGUCUGUAUUUGAGAAAGACAGCCUUAUUUGGGAAUGUGGAGGUUGAACCAACAUUUGCAGAUUAGAAAUCUGUGCUGGAAGACACUUUCAAAGAGAGCAAAUGUUUGGCGUAUGCGGAUGGACUCAAAUUGACUGAUUUCUGCAAAUGCAUUCCUGGUCGCAAGCUACACUAAUGUUCCACCUCCCUGGGGGCAGCCAUGGAGCGACCUCGACUUUGAAUGUUAAUUCCCUUCAUUGGAGAAAACCGCUGGCUUAUAAAAGAACUUCCACCCUCUUCGUGAGAGUCCCGUAAUUUAUACAGUGGCUUUGUUUAUAGAGCCCGUGGAGGGCACAGUCGAAUUUAGCAGCUCUGUGGGUGGUGGGUGGGACCUAAUGGCCCGAAAUGACAGACGAGGAAAAAGGCUGGGGCUGCCUUGGGAGCGUGCCCAGAGUCACACGGGUGGAGCAGGAAGGAGGACCAGGCUCUCUGGGCCUCCCAGUCUUACCCCAGUGGACAACUUCACUCCAAGUCCAGAGCCCUGCCGUUAGGUCGCACCUGCACCUGGGAGGGUUCUUCUGCUCUUGGCUCUCCCUCGGCACGGGUCCUUGUUGACUGCUGACUGCUUCGUUUCCUGGGCUGCAGGGACAGUAACACAAGCUGGGUGGCUCCAAACAACAGGAAUGUGUUCUGGAGGCCAGAAGUUUGAAAUCAGGGUGUCAGUAGGGCCGUGCUCCCAUUGAAGGUUCUAGGGGGACAUCUAGCCCUUGCAUCUUCGAAGCUUCUCCUGGCUGCUGGUGGCCCUUGUGUUACUGCUCCAGUCUCUGUCUCCAUCUUCACGUGACCUUCUCCCGGGGCGCCGUGUGUCUCUCCAUCCUUUCUUUUAUAAAGAUACCAGGCAUUGGAUGUAGGACCACUUUAAUCCAGUGUGGUCUCAUCUUAACUUGAUUAAUCUGCAGAAACCCAAAAAGGGUCAUGAGUGCCAGUCUCUCAGUGUAAUGGGUUGAAUAUAUCUUUUGGGGGAUGACCCUGAGACUGCCUGGUGGCAAGGUCUCUAGGGGACCGUGUCCUCAACCAGAAGGUUCUAUGAGUAGUCAUUUCUCUCUGGCCUAUGGGGGUCUCACCUGUCCCCCAAGGAGCCCUGGGUCUUCUGGCCCCUCUGCCAGGAUGGGGCAUUAGGUUGGUUCUGCCAGCUUAGAGCUCAGGGGGAUGGGUUGUGCUGCUCUGGCGUCUGUUUGGGAUGCUGCCAAAGGCUGGAUGCGGUGAGUGGGUAUCUUCGUUAGCACAUCGUGUUUGGGGGAGCCAGGCGGCCCCAGGCUGGCUGUGGCAUCCUUCCUUGGGGUCCUGGGAGGCAGCUGGUUCUUUGCUCCGUCUGGGUAUCAUUCUGACUUCAGGGCAGCCGUGUUUGGGGAGGUGGCACGGUGCUUAGACAUGUGAGCUAGCCUGGUUCCUGCCCCCUCCAGAUCGCAGACGUCUCCAGGGCAGGGACGUCUGGCCAUUUCUGUUUUCCCUCCAGCAGAGUUUUGGACCCUUGGGAGUUGCCGCUUGUUUACAAAUGCACUCACCACGCAGCAGGCAUCCUGAGAUACCCCUGGGCGGGUCUCUUCACACCGUGCGCAGUGCAGGGCUGCUGUGGGAUUCCAUGAGCUCGUGUACAUUAAUUAAAACCGCACACUCGAGAAAUGUCAACUCUGGUUAUGAUCUCGGGGAUGUUUAAGGAGGAAGCGGCAGGGCUUGGUUGACAAACAGAGCGUCAUCAAAGAUGGCUCCUCGCUGUCUGGCCAAGGGAUGGGUGACAGCGAGGGUCCCGUGGAAACAGAUCCUAGGAGAGGAUGGCGGGUGUGGCUCCCUGCAGAAACUGUUGCACCUGCACGUGCAGCAUGUGGAUGAGGGGUCCUCUGGGUCUGUCAAGUCUGCAGCCACCGUGCCCGCCCACCGAGUGCCAGCGUUUUGUCACUAGAGGAGACCAGAGAGGGGAGGAUGGGCAGGAACCUUUCAAAGAUUUCUUUUUUUUUUUUUUUUAGGGCACACCCUUGGCAUGUGGAGGUUCCAAGGCUAGGGGUUUAAUCAGGCCUAUGCCACAGCCACAGCAGCACCAGAUCCUUAACCCACUGAGUGAGGCUAGGGAUCGAACCUCCAUCCUCAUGGAUACUAGUCGGGUUCCUUAACCCCUGGGCCACGAUGGGAACUCCUUAAAGAGUUCUAUGGGGGGUCUUCUUUCAAGGGCUGGAGGAGACUCUCCCAAGAGAAGAGGGGACAUAGGCAGGGGCCGGGGGAGGGGGGGGAGCAGAGCAGGAGUUCCGGCAGGAGUGCCCUGUUCCGUUGGAAGUGCAGAGGGCUGCCUGGGAUGUUUAGGUUUGGAAGAUGGGAAUUCAAGGUCUUAGGAGACGGGAGCCUGGGGCAGCCUGGGGCUGGGGUGGGCAUGGGGUUGGCAAACCUGAAAUUGCUGCCUGCCUGGCCCUUUAAGGAAAACUUUGCUGCAAAGAGUCCAAGUGGCCAGCAGAGCAGGGGCCGUCCUUGUCCGCUCCUUACAGCUCUGAUGGUUUGGAUCUGUCCUCCUGCUCUGUGUGUGGCCUUGAUCCCUGCAACUGCCUGGAUGCUCCCUGAGGGAUGGGGCUGCUUCUGAAAGACCGCCAGCCCCCCUUGCAGCCAGCAGAGUGCCAGAUACAUAGUAAGUGGUUGCGUGUAAGAAGCCUGGACCUGAGGCAGCGGGUUCAAGGGCCGAGUCCCCAACCCCGGCUGUCUUUGUGGGUACUCUCCCUUUCCCAGGGAUCAUUUGGAAAAUUCUGAUGCCUGGGCCUCCUCAGUUUGCCUUAGGGUUCAGCUGGUCUGAGCUGGGGCCUAGGCAGCAGGACUUUUGAAAGCUCACCGCUCAUGCUGCCUCUGGGGCUCAGAUGUGCUACCGAGCACCUGAGGAGCAGCGCGGCUGGGCACACGCCUGCCUUGCUGGGCCCAUUUCGUCUUUCACUCUGAGGCCCAGCCUUGCAGACAUGAUGCCUGUGGUGGGCCCAGCACAAUGCCUGGUCCAUAGACACCCUGGUGAUUCAAAGCCAAGAGCCGCUUUUCGCCAUGCACAGCCUUGGCAAACUCUGGGAGUUCCCAUUGUGGCUCAGGAGUAAUGAACCAGACUAGUAUCCAUGAGGAUGCAGGUUCGAUCCCUGGCCUUGCUCAGUGGGUUAAGGGUCCUGCAUUGCCAUGAGCUGCAGCGUAGGUUGCAGAAGCGGCUCGGAUCCGGUGUUGCUAUGGCUGUGGUGUUGGCUGGCAGCUACAGGUCCAGUUCGACCCCUAGCCUGGGAACUUCCGCAUGUCGCAGGUUCGGCCCCAAUAAAAGGGGGCCAGUAGGGAUGUUCCCUUUGUGGCUCCACAGGUUAAGAACCUGACUAGUAUGCAUGAGGAUGCCUAUUCCAUCCGUGGCCUCGCUCAGUGGGUUAAGGAUCUGGUGGUGUCAUGAGCUGUGGUGUAGGUCGCAGACACACUCAGAUCUGGCAUGGUGUGGCUGUGGCUGUGGCCAGCAACUGCAGCUUCAGUGUGACCCCUAGCCUGGGAACUUCCAUGUGCUGCUGGUUCAGCUAUUUAAAAAAAAAAAAAAAAAAGCCAGCGGGUUGGAACCGUGUUUAGUGGAAAAAAGUUUAUCUUCUUGGAUGUGGUGUCCUUUUGGGGUGAAACAAAUGCCAUUUUGUCAGAACUUGUCUCCUUGGGGACACAGCAGUGGGGUUCUCCUUAACGAGCUGUCAUUGAAUACACGCUCUGGGCCUCGACUGUGCAGGGGGCUGGGGACCCCUCAGUGAAUCAGAUGAGACAGUCACAGCCUGCCGGAGCCCAGCGUGCUUUGGGCUCCCCACCCCGUGGGGGGUGCAGCCAAAAGCAGGGGAGGGAGAGAGAAAGGCGUCCAGCUUCUCGAGGACCGGCUCGAGGCGGUGGGGGGGCCAGGCUUGGCGGGGCCUCCAGUGGCCUUCAUGCUCAUCGAAACAUUUUUUUUCUUAGUAUAAACUGUUCCCAGUUGACAGAGAAAGGAGAUUUGGAAUCAGGCCCAUGACCUUCUGCAGGUGCUGAGCUGUGAGUCUAUAGAUUGUUAGGUUUUUACAUUAAAAAAAAAAUCCCUAAGGCUGUGCCUGGAAGAACGAGCUUCUCUGCGGGUUGACUUGCUUCUCCUUGCACCGUGGUGGAGCUUCCAGAGGCCUAAAGGGAGGAGCCUGCCGGCCUCCUCGGCCAGCGCAGAUGGGACAGGAGAGUCUUGCAGCCAAGGUUGAGAGGUGGUCACCGGUGGGGUGGCGGGAGUAUCCUCAUUCGGGGGGGCUCUGUGGGAGAGGCUGGGAUGCUGUGUGGCAUCCGUCAGAUGGACCGUUUAUCCACAGGAGGGAGCGGUCCUCAGUCUGAGCCACUGGAGGCUGUCUUGGGCAGCAAGGUUCGCUCCCACCCCAUCUCUUGGGACGAGGGUACCACUUGUCCUGUGUGAUUCAGAAUAAGCUGAGACUUCCGGGAAGGGGCUGGAGUGUGCUAGAGUCAAGCCAGGGGCUGCAUGAGGCCCUCCUGAACUCUGGAGGGUUCUGAGCCUCAGCUGUGUCUCUUUUCAUGAAAACAGAAAGACCUCUGAAGCAUUUGCCUGACUCUGCAGAUAACAUAAGCAUGGGGGUAGCGGUUUGAAUCCCACUUGCAAAUAGUUUUUCAAAGCCCGUGAGCUCCCCAAAAGGUGUGCAGACUUAUAUUUUUGUGUCUGUGUUAUUUGAAAAAAAAAAAUACUGCUACUAUGUCAAUAUAAUGCAGCAGUAGAGGUCUCUCCAGUUUGCAGACAGUUCAGGAGUACAAAGAGCAGAAUCUCCUUCCAGGCUUCAAAGCCCCUG
rnacentral:lncRNA from 1 species